rnacentral:rRNA from 1 species
UACGGAGGGGGCUAGCGUUGUUCGGAAUUACUGGGCGUAAAGCGCGCGUAGGCGGACCUGCAAGUCGGGGGUGAAAGCCCGAGGCUCAACCUCGGAACUGCAUUCGAUACUGCGGGGCUCGAGUCCUGGAGAGGUGAGUGGAAUUCCUAGUGUAGAGGUGAAAUUCGUAGAUAUUAGGAAGAACACCAGUGGCGAAGGCGGCUCACUGGCCCGGUACUGACGCUGAGGCGCGAAAGCGUGGGGAGCAAACAGG